CCAGAGCGAGCUCUCCUCCAGCCUGGAUGAGUCCGAGGAUUCUGACCUCCCCUACCCUCCGCCCCAGCGGGAGCCCAACRUUUACAUGGUGCCACAGGGAAUCAAACCCGUCCUGCAGCGCACGGCCAUCGAGAUCCUGGCCUGGGGGCUGAGGAACCUCAAGAGCUUCCAGCUGGCCAGUGUGACCUCACCCAGUCUGCUGGUGGAGUGUGGCGGACAGCGCGUCCACUCUGGUGUCAUCAAGAACGUCCGCAAGAACCCCAACUUCGACGUCUGCGUGCUCUUCAUG